ACCUGGCUAGCUCAGUCAGUAGAGCACGUGACUCUCGAUCUUGGGGUUGUGAGUUCGAGCCCUACAUUGGGUG
rnacentral:tRNA from 1 species